ACUUUUUCUUAAGGGAAUUUAUAUUAAGAUACAAUUUAUCUACAGAGUAUCAUCUUUCGCGAACAUAUAGCUCGAGGGUUCUCCAAGUAACGCGAGCUCUGCAGUCGGUUUAGUCAAAAACACACAUGCCCGCGUUAAUUUGAAUAAAAUCCUGUCGGCGCCCAUGUUUGUACCCCACUACAUUUUCUGCGAUUGUGUCAGUUGAUUUCUGUCGGCAUCGCCACUCGUGGGAUGCUGCCAACUCGCGAGGUUCGCCGUCACGCACGGCCUCAAGAGUGCCGACCACCAGCGACCGGGAUAUUUCUAGUCUGUCUCUCCUCGCGGACUUAGUACCCGAGUAUCGUGUGUGCACAGUGCAUCUACGCGUCGCGGUCGAGUAUUUUUCCUCGUUAUAUAUUUAAUUCACGUUCGUUACGACCCUGUCGAGCAUCAGGUGUCGUGUCGAUUCGGUGACGAAUGUGAGAGCCGAGUGACAUGGCCGAGAGAAAAUUCAUAACGCCGAGACGGAAGCGGAUCGUCGACCCUUCUGGGUCAAGGCCGUCAGAAAGGUCGAAUGUACCGAAGGAACCGGCGAGACCACCGAGAAUGAGGACGCAGCAGACCGCAUAUGUGACACCGGCUCACAAUUCUGCUUUCGGAAAUGGCACGCAACGUAGCGUGUUGUGUGUGGAAGCACAGCAGAAGCCGACCGAGAAGGCCCCGAUGACGACCCUCGACGAGAACGUGAAUCGUGUACCACGACAACAGCACAAGACAGACGACAAUAUGGAUCAUCUAGGAAAGAUCGAUCGGAUAGAAAGGCUGUCACCGAUGAAUGCACAGAUGCAAGACGCGGAUGGUGGACGGCCUGUCCAAGUGGUACUUGCCCAUCCAGAUCAUACCUUCGAAUUAGAUGAAGAUGCAUUGUCAGAAAUUCUCCUACAUGAUGACGUGAAAGAUAGAAGUGUGGUUGUAGUAUCUGUUGCAGGUGCUUUUAGAAAAGGCAAAAGUUUCCUUCUUGAUUUCUUUCUUCGUUACAUGGACAACAAGUACACGCUACACAGUGAUACCGAUACCUGGUUGGGCGCCGAGGACGAACCACUAAGUGGUUUUUCAUGGAGGGGUGGUUCUGAAAGAGAUACCACAGGAAUUUUGAUGUGGUCGAAAGUUUACCCCACUACGUUGGCGAACGGUGAAAAAAUCGCUGUGAUUCUUAUGGACACUCAAGGCGCUUUCGACAGUCAGUCAACUGUGCGGGACUGCGCGACAGUGUUCGCGUUAAGCACGAUGCUGUCCUCUGUACAAAUAUACAAUUUAUCGCAAAACAUUCAGGAGGAUGAUUUACAGCAUCUACAGUUGUUCACUGAAUACGGUAGAUUGGCAUUGGAAAGUUCCGACAGCACGCCCUUCCAGAGGCUGCAGUUCUUGGUUAGAGACUGGGUUUAUCCGUACGAGGCCGAUUACGGCGCGAACGGUGGGAAGAAACUACUCGACAAGAGAUUGGAAAUUUCUGAUAGGCAACAUCCUGAAUUGCAAAGCUUGCGAAAACACAUUAAGUCUUGUUUUUCGGACAUUUCGUGUUUCCUCAUGCCGCAUCCCGGUCUCGAGAUCGCGACGAAUCCGAAAUUUGAUGGUAGAUUAUCUGAGAUACAGACCGAAUUCAAGAAACAAUUAAAAGUGCUCAUACCGAUGAUACUGGCGCCCGAAAAUUUGGUGACCAAGAAAAUCAACGGCCAAGUCGUGAAAGCGAAAGAUCUGUUGGAAUAUUUCAAGAGUUACAUCAAUCUUUACAAGGGGGAUGAACUUCCUGAACCAAAAAGCAUGCUUGUGGCCACGGCGGAAGCUAACAACUUAACUGCUGUAGCAGAAGCUAAGGAUUUGUACCUUCAGAUGAUGGACAACGUGUGCGGUGGAACGAAACCGUUUUUAGCGACUGCUCACUUAGAAUCUGAACAUCAACACUGCGUGGAUUCAGCUCUUCGUCAAUUUCAAAACAAACGAAAGAUGGGCGGAGAAGAAUUCAGUCAAAUAUAUAUGGAAAAAUUAAUUAAGGACAUGGAUGAAUCUUUCUCGCAAUUUAAGGCGCACAAUGAAAGCAAAAAUAUUUUUAAAGCAGCGCGAACGCCAGCAGUGUUUUUCGCAAUUGCCGUUACCAUGUACGUUUUAUCUGGAAUAUUUGGUCUUGUUGGUCUGUACACGUUAGCGAAUAUAUGUAAUCUCAUCAUGGGUAUUGGUUUGCUCACGCUCGUCUUAUGGGCAUAUAUAAGGUAUAGUGGAGAAUUCAGAGAAAUUGGAACGCAAAUAGAUGACUUAGCUAGUACAAUAUGGGAAAAUUGUACUAAUGAAAAACGAUAUUUGAAAAAGGUCUGGCUAUGCGCUCAUCUUUGUUAUAGAUUUACGUAUAUGUUAAGAUACCUGAUCCUGUCCAUUAUUGUGAUUGUAUUUGCAAUACCUAUAUGUCAUUUUACUUAUCGCGAUCUUCAUAGACAUGGCUAUAUCUGAUCACGCGCUUUUCUUUUUUUCUAAUUUUAGUCUUUAAUUAUCUUUAAUAUAUUCCGAAUAUAUUGCUUCUCUCUUUAUGUUUCUUACAUAUUUAUGUUUCGCACAUUGUUUUUAUUGACCAGAGACAUUUCUGAUUUCUGAUAGAAGUGUAACCAUUAAUAUCACUCUCUUUUAUUGUCUUCUUUUAUUCCUGUCAUAAGCUGAGUGCUAACAGGAGAAAAUAUCGAAAAGUUCAUGAAGCCACUCUACCAACAAUUCGUGGAGAAGUCCGUAUCUGUAGCGGUGGCGCAGGCUGCUGAAUUAGCGGUAACAAAUUCAACAUUGAACGCCACUGUGACUGCCAAUGGCAAGCCUAAAUUAUUAUAACGUUCAUUCCCAUAUCCCGAUUGUUCAAACAAAUCGAAAUAUUGCAUCUUUAUAUGUUAAUAUUAAGUGGCAUAACUAAAUUUUACAAUAUCGUUAUCUCUUGACAUACCGCCAUAAACAGUUUUUUCUCUAUGUAAAACUGGAUUAAACAUUUAUGACUUGGAAACAUAAUUUGAAAAUGACUGUGAAUGUAUAUACGAUGUAUUCUAAUUAUAAAAAUUGCGUUAGACUGAUGGAAAUCGUGAUUACUAGUAUUGCCUAGUAUAUCCUUGAUAUGAAUGUUGUAAAAAUAAAAUCUUGUACCGGUGAAAAAUAUUAUUAUAGCUUGACCUGGUUGUUUUAUCACAGGAAUGUUAAUAUAUUUGAAACUGUUACAAAUUUAUCAAAAAGUAGGAAAAUGCAUUUGUGAAAAUAUUGAAAAACAUUAAGAAAAUAAGUCCUUAUAUAACAGUUCUUUUCAUUCUUUUCUAUUAAGUAUAUAAAGUUUUUUUUCUGUUACAUCCAUUACAUUUAAAGUGCAUUUUGCAGUUGAUUUUUGUUUUAAUAAGGAUUUUGUUCCCAAUAGAGUAUGUCUCAAGAUUACGUCUUUGUUAUUUUAUGUGUUAUUUAUAUGCUUGGACUAACGAAGUUCAGAUUUCAUUCGUGCCAGAAACGCGCUACAUGAGUUGUACUGGACUACUGUUUAAUAAAAGAAGGAAUGUACAUAUUGCACGAUGUUAUUCACAUUCUACGUAGUUUGAAAAAGAAAAGUGAUAAAAACUUAGAACUUAUUUAACUGACUCUGAUAUAGAUAUUCACACGCCAUAUUGCUGUAGUGACUUUAUUAAUGUAAUGACUUUAUUAAAUGCAAUAUCUCGAAGUUGCCCGAUUAUAUUGAUCUACUUAAGAGUAGCAUAAGUCUUAUUGCCACAAUACACUGUUAAGAGUAAUCAAAUUUGUGUUGUAGAUAUGAUGGGCUCCAUUUCUUAUAUUGCUCAUUGAAUAAAACUGACCAAAUUUACAGCUUUAAAUUUAUGAAAAUUGUAAUAUUAUGUUUAUUUAAAUCAACAUAUGUAAAAGAAAACUAGCCUUUUAGUCUCCAUGAAUUUUGUUCAAUGAGUAAUUUCGGUAAUACACUUUGACGUAGGCGUAUAUUAAAACUCUACCAAGUCUUGCCAAGCGAUUCCUAAUUUAAUUUAUUUUCGAUUUAUAGCAUUGAGAGAGUAAUGAAUUUAUUUUUAUUUAUGCUCGCAUAGAGAUUUUUUUAAUAUGAAAUUUAUAAACGAAUUAUAUUAGCCUUGCAAAAUCGAAAGAGAUUACAGUUUAUUAAACAUAAUAUAUACUUAAUUUUGAAAAAUAUAGAUAUAGAUUUGCAUCAGAGAAAGAAAUACUUCAUACUUUUCCCCUAACAUAUCAAAAAUUAUAAAUGUAUACUUGGUGGUGGUUUUAAUAACACUAAUUUAUUUAUGUGUAUAUUUGAUAUUUUGAAAUAUUUACUUCACGAAGACGUAAAAGAAACAAAUUCACAUCUGUACAUCAAAAUAUAAUUGCUGCUUUGUACAUGAUAGAUCCAAAAUUUAAAGUAUAUUAUUUUUUGUAAUUUUAUCUUUUUGUAUCUUUAUUGAUGGAUAUAAAUAUUAGAGGCAGCUUUUUUAAAAAAUAUUCUUCAUUAAUAUAUUUGUUUUAUUAGUUGAGUUACAACAUAAGUCAAUAAAGUCAAUAAAGAGUUUUGUAUUAUUAAUAUAUAGCUGUAUUCAUCUUAUAUUUUAUACAGAAUGGGUGUAUGUAGAAUAAUUUAAUGCAGAAAUGCAUGGUUAUGGAGGUGCCAUUAAAAUUUAAUUUUCGGUUACCAAGAUUCUGAGUCCCGUGCUAAAUUUUAUUUACUAGUUUUAUAAAAUUCCUCAAGUUUUGUUUUUAAUUUCAUAGACUAUACAUAAGUAAAUAAGUUUAGCACACGACUGCAUAUUAACCCAAGUUUGUGAUCAAAUUUGAUGUAUUUGAUGUUUAAACUACCUGUUCUUUAUCACAAUAUUGUAUUUCAAACUUGAGCUAAUAUGUAUUUAACAUCAAUUACUAUUACAUUACGAUUUUUUGUUCAUAGAGCAGUUAUAUUGUUAUGUAAUUUUGUAAAAUAAUUAGGAAUUGACAAAUAUAUAACGGUUAAACGAACAGAUUGUGCAAGUCAUUUGCAGAUAUUUAAUAUUUGUAUGAAAGGAGAGCUUGUAAUAUCUUAUAUAUUUUACACAGUUGUAAUGUAAUUAAAAAUAUACGGACAUGACACUAUAGAAUAAUUUGUAGCGGCUAUUGACAGAGUUACCUUGAUUAAAAAAUUUUGUAUCGUAAAAAUUUGUGUCAAAUGUAUUAUGUAUAUUUACUGCACAUAUAAUCUAUCUUUCAGCUGUCCAUUUUAUACUAAUAAAUAUUGUAAUAAAAAAAAUAUAAAAAAAUA